rnacentral:rRNA from 1 species
UACGUAGGGUGCGAGCGUUGUCCGGAUUUAUUGGGCGUAAAGAGCUCGUAGGCGGUUUGUCGCGUCGGCCGUGAAACUCUCCACGCUUAACGUGGAGCGUGCGGUCGAUACGGGCAGACUUGAGUUCGGUAGGGGAGACUGGAAUUCCUGGUGUAGCGGUGAAAUGCGCAGAUAUCAGGAGGAACACCGGUGGCGAAGGCGGGUCUCUGGGCCGAUACUGACGCUGAGGAGCGAAAGCGUGGGAGCGAACAGG